UACGGAGGGUGCAAGCGUUAUCCGGAAUUACUGGGUUUAAAGGGUGCGUAGGCGGCAACGUAAGUCAGAAGUGAAAUCUCUCGGCUUAACUGAGGAACUGCUUUUGAUACUGCGUAGCUUGAAUAAGGUUGAGGUCAGCGGAAUGUGGCAUGUAGCGGUGAAAUGCUUAGAUAUGCCAUAGAACACCAAUUGCGAAGGCAGCUGGCUAGACCUGUAUUGACGCUGAGGCACGAAAGCGUGGGGAGCGAACAGG
rnacentral:rRNA from 1 species